rnacentral:sRNA from 1 species
GCCAGGUGUGGUGGUGCACACCUGUAUUCCCAACUACUCAGGAGGCUGAGGUGGGAGGAUUGCUUGAGCCCAGGAGGUUGAGGUUGCAUUGAACCAAUCACGCCAUUGCCCUCCAGCCUGGACAACAGAGAGAGGGGAGACUCCAUCUAAAAAAAAAAUGGCUGGGCACAGUGGCUCAUGCCUGUAAUCCCAGCACUUUGGGAGGCUGAGGCGAGUGGAUUGCCUGAGGUCAGGAGUUCGAGACCAGCCUGGCCAACAUAGUGAAACCCCGUCUCU